rnacentral:lncRNA from 1 species
AGGAUGCCAUAUGGUCAGGUCUUCAUGAGGACUUUCUUCCUGGCUUGCAGGUGACACCUUCAUCCUGUAUCCUCACAUGGCAGAGAAGUACAAUAUCCUCACUGAAUCAGGUCUUUGAGUUCUCCACUGAAUGCUUUCCAAUAAGCCAGGAGAUGAGGGAUGAGAAAGAGUACACAAAGAAUCUCAUGAGAAUAGUUUCAGGAACUUUAGGCCAGACCUAGAAGUGGAUAUAUGACUUCCACAUAUGUUCCAUUGGCCAGAACUCCAUUGCAUGGUCCCAACUAACUGCAGAGGAAUCAGAAAUGUAGUCUAGCUAUGUGCAAAGGAGAGAAAAAGAAAUUGAACUUGAAAACAUAUUUACAGCCUAGAUGUUGGGGUUGGACCUUCUGUAAACUCUAAAGGCAGUUUAUAAAUUAAAUGCACGAGUGAUGUGACUCUGCUAUAUUUAUGCUGAGGAAUUAAAUAGCAAAAUCUAGUAUUUCACUGAUGUAUUUAUAUAAAGUAUCUGCUAUAACCUUGUAUAGUACAUUACAUGAUAAUCAUAUUUGAACCUUCCUUCUGGGGACACUAUCUCUCAAGACGUUUUAUGCACCAUGUCAACAAGGUAAGGCACGGACAUUUCAUAUUUAUCCUGAAGAGUGAUACUUCCAAUUCUGUUCAUUCUUCUACUUGAGAAUUUAUUAUAGCACACAUGGAACUUUUGAUUGUCAUCAAACAUCUUGCAAAAUAAUUGAUGUGAAAGUUACAGAAAAGGACACAGAAAAAGAUGGAUCAAUGUGACUGAUAAAGAGGGACUAUGAAAAUAACACCUGU